GAACGUGAGAAAUGCACUUUUGCCUUCGCCAUUAAACGUAAUUUGGUCAGACAUAAAUAAUGUACGACUGCGUGCGUUUCCCAUGCACUAUGCCGCGUACAUUUUUUAGGUUAGGUCACGGAUCUCAUAUUAUCUUCUUACUCGUCACAUAAAACACGUUUUUGCAGUUGGCGUAUUCACAUCUCGGGCGUAACGGAAGAUCAAAUAGCUCCGAAGAUUGUACCAAAUAUUCAAGCUGGACCGUAUACAACAAUUUUUGUUCCAUUGAUGAUAAAAUUCGCAUGGCGGACUUGGGAAAAUUUGAAAACGCCGAGUUUGCCGAUACUAUUCAAGUUUCUCAUAUGAAUACGGUUAACGGGAAAAGAACAUUUUCUGCACAAAUACUAUAUCGGAUGUCGAGAGGAAAAAAUUACGAAUGAAUAUCAUCUAGUCUCCCGAAUUUUCAGAAAUAUAUUCUUUAUUGAACAGAAAAAUAGUUGACGCCAAAAAUAUCAAAAAUAUUCAAAAUUACACAAUAUUUUCCACGUCGGUUCUGAGCAGGUCGCUCGCCUGGGCCUCAUUUCCAUGCUCCUUUGGCUGGACAGAGUAUAGAUGAAUUUUCAAAAACUCACGUUCAGCAUAAUUCGAAAAAUAAUAUAACUAGAAACUAGUUCCUACAUAGAAUCUUCCAGACGUUAAGAAUUCAUCAAGAAACCGAUCAUUCAAAACUUCGCCAGUUGAAAUUGUUAUGGAAACGGAUACAAUAACAAUCAUGGAAGAAACACUAGUAACAUUAUCAGAUAAAGAAGUCCAUGUUCCAGGGUUUUACUUAACAGUCCAUAGCUAGAUUAUAAAGCUUGGUAUAUAUAAAUAUACCAAUAACAAUGUCUAGAAUAUGGAUCUCGACACACCAACGCAGAUAUAUCGAGCCUGCCCGACCACCUGACACACGCACACCUGCGCAUCAUUGAGUGAGAUCUUUUACCUAUGGGCACGUAAUGAAGCAUUAAGUAACUAGGUAUGAUUUUUUUUUAUUAUAAUUAUUAUUAUAACAGCUGACUCUCAAUAACUCAUA